UCCCCUUCAAAAAGGGCAAAGUGGAUGGGGCCUUUAACGUUUUCUGUAAAUUUUCGAAAUGGAAAUUGAAAGGCAAUAAGUGCGAGCAGGAGUUGCUAAAUCACCGCCACAGAGAUCCACAGAUCCAGAGGACCUCAGUCUCCAGACCCCCUACUUCCCAGCCAUGCCAGCCAAGGUACAAUGGCAAGAGUCAGGGCAUUUUAUCAAUCAAGUGCAAUUAUAGCCCCCCAUUUCCCGGCUCCACGUAGAUAAAAUCUGCAUUGAGAUAAAUAUGCGCAAAGAGCAAACCAAUCAUCGAUAAAUUCUGUUUGACAACAGCACGGAACAGAUGGAGGACUGGCGGAAGAUGGUUCUCGGGGUCUCCGGUACUGGGAGGUCUCAGAUCCUGGGGCCAAACCACGAAAAGAAAUCAAUUUCCUGUGACUCGACUCCAAACAUUCGACUCCAUUU